rnacentral:tRNA from 1 species
GGAGGUGUAGCUUAGUGGUAGAAUUUUUGCCUAGCAUGCAGGGCCCUAGGUUCAAUUCCCAGCACCCCCC